AUGUCUUCGUUUAAAUCUGGAUGAUUGACAGUUAUCAGAUGUAUUAAUAGUAUAGUGGUAACCAUAUUGAAUGUAUAACAUGAUAUAAUACUUAUGCUUACA